rnacentral:rRNA from 1 species
UACGUAGGGUGCAAGCGUUAAUCGGAAUUACUGGGCGUAAAGCGUGCGCAGGCGGUUUUGUAAGUUUGUCGUGAAAUCCCCCGGGCUCAACCUGGGAAUGGCGAUGAAGACUGCAAGGCUAGAAUCUGGCAGAGGGGGGUAGAAUUCCACGUGUAGCAGUGAAAUGCGUAGAUAUGUGGAGGAAUACCGAUGGCGAAGGCAGCCCCCCUGGGAUAACACUGACGCUCAUGCACGAAAGCGUGGGGAGCAAACAGG